rnacentral:rRNA from 1 species
ACGAACGCUGGCGGCGUGCCUAAUACAUGCAAGUCGAACGCUUCUUUUUCCACCGGAGCUUGCUCCACCGGAAAAAGAGGAGUGGCGAACGGGUGAGUAACACGUGGGUAACCUGCCCAUCAGAAGGGGAUAACACUUGGAAACAGGUGCUAAUACCGUAUAACAAUCGAAACCGCAUGGUUUUGAUUUGAAAGGCGCUUUCGGGUGUCGCUGAUGGAUGGACCCGCGGUGCAUUAGCUAGUUGGUGAGGUAACGGCUCACCAAGGCGACGAUGCAUAGCCGACCUGAGAGGGUGAUCGGCCACAUUGGGACUGAGACACGGCCCAAACUCCUACGGGAGGCAGCAGUAGGGAAUCUUCGGCAAUGGACGAAAGUCUGACCGAGCAACGCCGCGUGAGUGAAGAAGGUUUUCGGAUCGUAAAACUCUGUUGUUAGAGAAGAACAAGGAUGAGAGUAACUGUUCAUCCCUUGACGGUAUCUAACCAGAAAGCCACGGCUAACUACGUGCCAGCAGCCGCGGUAAUACGUAGGUGGCAAGCGUUGUCCGGAUUUAUUGGGCGUAAAGCGAGCGCAGGCGGUUUCUUAAGUCUGAUGUGAAAGCCCCCGGCUCAACCGGGGAGGGUCAUUGGAAACUGGGAGACUUGAGUGCAGAAGAGGAGAGUGGAAUUCCAUGUGUAGCGGUGAAAUGCGUAGAUAUAUGGAGGAACACCAGUGGCGAAGGCGGCUCUCUGGUCUGUAACUGACGCUGAGGCUCGAAAGCGUGGGGAGCAAACAGGAUUAGAUACCCUGGUAGUCCACGCCGUAAACGAUGAGUGCUAAGUGUUGGAGGGUUUCCGCCCUUCAGUGCUGCAGCUAACGCAUUAAGCACUCCGCCUGGGGAGUACGACCGCAAGGUUGAAACUCAAAGGAAUUGACGGGGGCCCGCACAAGCGGUGGAGCAUGUGGUUUAAUUCGAAGCAACGCGAAGAACCUUACCAGGUCUUGACAUCCGAUGCAUAGCUUAGAGAUAAGUGAAGUCCUUCGGGACAUCGAGACAGGUGGUGCAUGGUUGUCGUCAGCUCGUGUCGUGAGAUGUUGGGUUAAGUCCCGCAACGAGCGCAACCCUUAUUGUUAGUUGCCAUCAUUUAGUUGGGCACUCUAGCAAGACUGCCGGUGACAAACCGGAGGAAGGUGGGGAUGACGUCAAAUCAUCAUGCCCCUUAUGACCUGGGCUACACACGUGCUACAAUGGGAAGUACAACGAGUCGCAAAGUCGCGAGGCUAAGCUAAUCUCUUAAAGCUUCUCUCAGUUCGGAUUGUAGGCUGCAACUCGCCUACAUGAAGCCGGAAUCGCUAGUAAUCGCGGAUCAGCACGCCGCGGUGAAUACGUUCCCGGGCCUUGUACACACCGCCCGUCACACCACGAGAGUUUGUAACACCCGAAGUCGGUGAGGUAACCUUUUGGAGCCAGCCGCCUAAGGUGGGAUAGAUGAUUGGGGUG